rnacentral:rRNA from 1 species
AUACGGAGGUAGCAAGCGUUAUUCGGAAUCACUGGGCGUAAAGGACGCGUAGGCGGGUUGGCAAGUCAGAUGUGAAAUCCUACAGCUUAACUGUAGAACUGCAUUUGAAACUGCUAACCUAGAGUAUGGGAGGGGGAGAUGGAAUUAGUGGUGUAGGGGUAAAAUCCGUAGAUAUCACUAGGAAUACCGAAAGCGAAGGCGAUCUCCUGGAACAUAACUGACGCUAAGGCGUGAAAGCGUGGGGAGCAAACAGGAUUAGAAACCCUAGUAGUCC